rnacentral:rRNA from 2 species
GGAGAGUGGCGCACGGGUGAGUAACGCGUGGGGACCUACCUCUUAGUGGGGGAUAACGGUUGGAAACGACCGCUAAUACCGCAUACGCCCUUCGGGGGAAAGAUUUAUCGCUAAGAGAUGGACCCGCGUUGGAUUAGAUAGUUGGUGAGGUAACGGCUCACCAAGUCAGCGAUCCAUAGCUGGUUUGAGAGGAUGAUCAGCCACACUGGGACUGAGACACGGCCCAGACUCCUACGGGAGGCAGCAGUGGGGAAUAUUGGACAAUGGGGGCAACCCUGAUCCAGCCAUGCCGCGUGAGUGAAGAAGGCCUUCGGGUUGUAAAGCUCUUUCAGAUGCGAAGAUGAUGACGGUAACAUCAGAAGAAGCCCCGGCUAAUUUCGUGCCAACAGCCGCGGUAAUACGAAAGGGGCUAGCGUUGUUCGGAUUUACUGGG